AAGGUACUCCCUCCGUCCCAAAAUUUUUGUCUUAAAUUUGUCUAAAUACGGAUGUAUCAAGUCACGUUUUAGUAUUAGGUACAUCCGUAUCUAGACAAAUUUAAGACAAGAAUUUUGGGACGGAGGGAGUACUAA
rnacentral:pre_miRNA from 1 species